rnacentral:rRNA from 1 species
UCAACUUGAGAGUUUGAUCCUGGCUCAGAACGAACGCUGGCGGCAGGCUUAACACAUGCAAGUCGAGCGCCCCUCCUUCAAGCAAGCUUGAAGGUCCUUUGGCCGAAGGCCAGGAAAGAGGAUCAAGAAAGCCGAGCUUUCUUGAUGGAGGGGAGCGGCAGACGGGUGAGUAACGCGUGGGAAUCUACCUAGCUCUACGGAAUAACCCAGGGAAACUUGGACUAAUACCGUAUACGUCCGAGAGGAGAAAGAUUUAUCGGAGUUAGAUGAGCCCGCGUUGGAUUAGCUAGUUGGUGGGGUAAAGGCCUACCAAGGCGACGAUCCAUAGCUGGUCUGAGAGGAUGAUCAGCCACACUGGGACUGAGACACGGCCCAGACUCCUACGGGAGGCAGCAGUGGGGAAUAUUGGACAAUGGGCGCAAGCCUGAUCCAGCCAUGCCGCGUGAGUGAUGACGGCCUUAGGGUUGUAAAGCUCUUUCAACGGUGAAGAUAAUGACGGUAACCGUAGAAGAAGCCCCGGCUAACUUCGUGCCAGCAGCCGCGGUAAUACGAAGGGGGCUAGCGUUGUUCGGAAUUACUGGGCGUAAAGCGCACGUAGGCGGAUACUUAAGUCAGGGGUGAAAUCCCGGGGCUCAACCCCGGAACUGCCUUUGAUACUGGGUAUCUAGAGUAUGGUAGAGGUGAGUGGAAUUCCGAGUGUAGAGGUGAAAUUCGUAGAUAUUCGGAGGAACACCAGUGGCGAAGGCGGCUCACUGGACCAU